rnacentral:rRNA from 1 species
GAUGAACGCUGGCGGCGUGCCUAAUACAUGCAAGUCGAGCGAAGGAGCGUGAAGCUUGCUUCUCUUUUAUUAGCGGCGGACGGGUGAGUAACACGUGGAUAACCUACCUAUAAGACUGGGAUAACUUCGGGAAACCGAAGCUAAUACCGCAUAACAACUUGAACCAUAAGGUUUAAAAGUGAAAGAUGCACUUGCAGCACCCAAAGAUUGUAUCCGCGCUGCUUUGCUUAGUGGUGAAGGUAAGGCCCUCCCAGGCGAACGAACCAUAGCCGCCCUGGAGGGGGGACGGCCAACACUGGAACGAGGACACGGUCCAGACCCCUACGGGAGGCACCAGUGGGGAAUCUUCGGAAAUGAGCGAAGUCCUGACGGGGCACGGCCGCGUGGGUGAGAAAGGUCUUGGGUCGGUAAACCCCGUUUAUAAGGGAAGAAGAUAUGUGGAGUUAACUGUGCACAACGUGGCGGUACCUAAUCAGAAAGCCACGGCUAACUACGUG